rnacentral:lncRNA from 1 species
AUCAUUGAUAUCGUGGAAGGAAUUUGAUGAAAAGAAUCGAACUCCUUAGUAACAACAACAACAUUUAUUUCGUAGUUUUUAAAGAAGUCACACUGUUUAACGAUUCUCUCUUUGCUUCUCAAAACGGUAAGUUUAUAAAGAUUAGCUUUAAAAGUGUUAUAAUUUGUGUAAAUAACGAUUUUCCUUUCAAAGAUACAGAAAUUUAAAGUGAAAGAAUCGAUAAAAAGAUUUUUUUUCGACCUGACAGGUACAGGAUGGAUUUUCAAGUUAAAUAUUGAUCUGUUAUUCUUGAAAACGUAAAGUCAGCUGUUGUGUGCAAUAUAAAGUAAAUUCAAUUUUUUUUCUACGUAAAUUUGAAUUUCAUUUGAGUAUAUGAAAGAGUUCAAAUUCUUGGAGAUUCACUUUGCCUUUCAUCCUUUCGGGGUUGAUAAAAUGAGUACCGUUUGAAUACUGGGGUCUAUGUAAUCAACUAGCCUCCCACUCGAAAUUGCUGGCCUUGUGCCAAAAUUUGAAAUCAAUGUAAAAUUGGACGCUAAACGAUGAUGAUGUAGCAAAAGGUUUAUGUUUUCUUUUUCCAGAAAGUGCAGUAGACUACUGUGUACAUGUUUUGGUAUUAACAGAUUUGAAAAUCUUUAGGAAUUUAAUAUAGAAACGCAGGCCUGAUUGUGUGGGUAAGAAUCUUGCUUCCCAAUCUUGUGGUCUUGGGUUCAGUCCCCACCAUGAGGUACCUGAAGCUAGUGUCUUCUAAUUCUGGUUCAACCAAAGCCUUGUGAGUAGAUUUGGCAGAUGGAAACUAGAAGAAACUAUAAGGCAGCAAGCUGGCAGAAACGUUAGCACGCCGAGCGAAAUGCUUCGCGGGAUUUCGUCUGUCGUUACGUUCUGAGUUCAAAUUCCGCUAAGGUUGACUUUGCCUUUCAUCCGUCUACCAAAUCCACUCAUAAGGCUUUGGUCGACCAGAGGCUAUAGUAGAAGACACUUCCCCAAAUUGUCAUGCAGUGGGACUGAACCCGGAACCAUGUGGUUGGUAAACAAGCUACUUACCACACAGCCACUCCUACACCUAUAAUAGCUAAUUAAAAGGUAGUUCAAUUGUUAAGAUGUUUAUUUGUACAGUGUAUCUGUAUAAAAAAAAAUCACUAAAAUGCAUCUGUUGAAUCUUUAUUUUUAAAUAUCUUCUAACGUCUAUACUUUUCUCUUUUAUUUCAGAAAUAUCAGAUGGCAUUGGCAUAAAAGAUUUUUUUUUUACUUCAAAUACAUCGAUUGUAUUUAUCAUCUUUUAAAAACUGAAGGAAGAUGUUAUACACACAAGGUGUAACUCUAUAUAAUUCUAUGGCAGAAUUACC